rnacentral:tRNA from 1 species
GUGGUGGCUCAGUGGUAGAGCACUUGCCUUGCAUGUGUGAGGUGCUGGGUUUGAUUCUCAGCACCACA